AAUCAACGCUGGCGGCGUGCCUAACACAUGCAAGUCGAACGCGAAAGGGGCUUCGGCCCUGAGUAGAGUGGCGAACGGGUGAGUAACACGUGGGUGACCUACCUUCGAGUGGGGGAGUAACGUCCCGAACGGGACGGCUAACACCGCAUAACAUCCUGCCUUUGUAACAGGUGGGAGAUCAAAGACUGGGGAGUCGCAAGACCCGGCCGCUUGAAGAGGGGCCCGGCGUCCGAUUAGCUAGUUGGUGAGGUAAUGGCUCACCAAGGCGACGAUCGGU
rnacentral:rRNA from 1 species